rnacentral:antisense_RNA from 1 species
AGUCAUAAUUGCUAUUCCCACUUAAUAGUGAUUGUGAUGAGCGAUGCGGGUGUGUUGGCGCACAUCCGCAUUGCGUU